rnacentral:rRNA from 1 species
UACGUAGGUGGCAAGCGUUGUCCGGAUUUACUGGGCGUAAAGAGCGCGCAGGCGGUCGUUCAAGUCGCGUGUGAAAGCCCCCGGCUCAACUGGGGAGGGUCACGCGAUACUGAUCGACUCGAAGGCAGGAGAGGGUAGUGGAAUUCCCGGUGUAGUGGUGAAAUGCGUAGAUAUCGGGAGGAACACCGGUGGCGAAGGCGGCAUCCUGGACCGGUAUUGACGCUGAGGCGCGAAAGCCAGGGGAGCAAACGGG